UCUGAUCUCUCUGAUCUGCUCCCUCACAGGCUGCUUACUGAUGCCGCGGGAGCCGGAAUAUGACGUCAUCAGUAAGCAGCCUGCGAGGGAGCACAUCAGAGAGAUCAGA